UUAAAGUGACAGAGUUAAUGUGUUGGAUUUAAGCUCCAUUAAUGAUUUUAUCCUUUAAUA
rnacentral:tRNA from 1 species